CGUGGGGCGGAAGGGGCGGCUUGGCGAGGCCUCAUCUGUCCGUCCGUCAGGGCCGCGGACCCAUGGAGGGCCUGAGUCUAGAACCUGCCAAAGCCAUCAAACCUAUAGAUCGCAAGUCAGUGCAUCAGAUCUGUUCUGGACAAGUAGUACUAAAUCUAGGCACGGCUGUGAAGGAGUUGGUGGAAAAUAGUGUGGAUGCUGGAGCCACUAAUAUUGAUCUAAAGCUUAAAGAGUAUGGUGCUGAUCUCAUAGAAGUUUCAGACAAUGGUUGUGGAGUAGAAGAAGAAAACUUUGCGGGCUUGACCCUGAAACAUUACACUUCCAAGAUACAAGAUUUCUCCGAUCUAACUCAUGUGGAAACAUUUGGCUUUCGAGGGGAAGCGCUAAGCUCACUGUGUGCAUUGAGUGACGUGACUAUCAGUACUUGCCAUAAAUCCGCAAAGGUUGGAACUCGAUUGGUGUUUGACCACAAUGGGACUAUUACUCAGAAGGCACUGUUUCCACGACAACAAGGGACAACCGUUAUUGUUCAACAGUUAUUUUAUACCCUACCAGUGCGACACAAAGAAUUUCAAAGGAAUGUUAAAAAGGAAUUUGCUAAAAUGGUGCAGGUAUUACAAGCAUACUGUAUCAUUUCAGCAGGCAUUCGAAUAAACUGCACCAACCAAGUUGGACAAGGAAAACGACAACCUGUUGUGUGCACAAAUGGAAACUCCACUGUAAAAGAAAAUAUCGGAGCAGUAUUUGGGCAAAAGCAGUUGCAGAGCCUCAUUUCGUUUGUUCAGCUGCCACCCAGUGAAGCUGUUUGUGAAGAGUAUGGUCUUAAGUCCAGUGAUGCUCCACAUAAUUUUUACACCAUUACAGGCUUUAUUUCACGUUGUGAUCAUGGCGUUGGGAGGAGUACAACAGAAAGACAGUUUUACUUUAUCAACCAGCGGCCAUGUGACCCAGCAAAGGUUUCCAGACUUGUGAAUGAAGUCUAUCAUAUGUAUAAUCGACACCAGUAUCCAUUUGUUGUUCUUAACAUUUCUGUUGAUUCUGAAUGUGUUGACAUCAAUGUAACACCAGAUAAAAGGCAAAUACUACUUCAGAAGGAGAAGCUUUUGUUGGCCGUGUUAAAGACUUCCUUGUUGGGAAUGUUUGAUAGUGAUGUUAACAAACUUAAUAUCAAUCAGAAGCUUUUGCUGGAUGUUGGAGUUUCUUUAAAACCGCAUUCAGCAGAGAUGGGAACACCCCCAUUGGAGAAAUGGUCUCCGAGGUCUCCAAGGACUAAAGGAGAAGAAAAAAGAGCAAUAACUAUUGCCAAACUACGAGAGGCAUUCUCCCUCCAGCAGAAAACAGAAUGCAGCACUGAAAGUCAGACAUCUCCUAAACUGCAGCAGAAGCCUCAAGGACAGAGAAAGCUAUCAUUUUCAAGUACCUCAGCUAUCCUAAACUCUCAAAAAUAUGCUUCUAAAAAGGAGCCUGAUGAUGAGGAUGUCAUAAGAGAGUCAACUUCGGACAUGUUUAGUAGCCCGGAUGAAAGGAGAGUAGAAAGCGACAAAGAUUCAGGACAUAGUGGUACUCCAGCAGAAUUAGAGGGAGGGGUCAGCACUCCAGAAAUGAGUAUCAAUUUCAGCAGUGAAUGUAUUACUAGCUCCCCAGAACAAGAAGAAGGUGACUUUUCAAAAAGCGAUCACCAUGAUUGUCCUGAAACCGUUGAGUUUUGUGAGAAGUCAUCAGAAACUCUCAUCCCACUUUCAGAGGUGGAAAGUCAUUUGGACCAAAUGGGAACUGAACAAGCCUUCAGAGAUGAAGCACAGCGAAACCGUAAUCCAACCCCAAAUGUGAAGAGGGCUAAAAGUGAAAAGGUGGCUUUAACUUCAGAUGCUCCUUCAAAGCCGACUUGUGAUCAGAACAGCACAUUGGCAUCUCAGGUCGAUGUAGCUAUUAAAAUUAAUAAGAAAAUGGUGCCAGUUGAGUUCUCUAUGAAUGCUUUAGCCAAGCGAAUGAAACAGCGUCACCGGGAAGAAAAAAGCAGAGCAAGAGCACAGAAUUAUAGAAGAUUUAGGGCAAAAAUUAGCCCAGGAGAAAACCAAGCAGCAGAAGAUGAAUUAAGGAAGGAGAUAAGUAAAGAGAUGUUCACACAGAUGGAAAUCAUUGGCCAAUUUAAUUUGGGAUUUAUUAUCACAAAACUGAAUGCAGACCUCUUCAUAAUUGAUCAACAUGCUACAGAUGAAAAGUACAACUUUGAGAUGCUACAGCUGCACUCUGUUCCGCAGGGUCAAAGACUUAUAGUGCCUCAAAAUCUCAAUUUAACUGCCAUAAAUGAAGCCAUACUAAUUGAGAAUCUGGAAAUAUUCAAAAAGAAUGGGUUUGAUUUCAUUAUUGAUGAAAAAGCUCCUGUCACAGAACGCGUUAAGCUGAUUUCCUUACCAACCAGUAAAAGCUGGACAUUCGGACCACAGGACAUAGAUGAGAUGAUUUUCAUGUUAAGUGAUUGUCCCGGAGUCAUGUGUCGGCCCUCCAGAGUUAGGCAGAUGUUUGCCUCAAGGGCAUGUAGAAAGUCUGUAAUGAUCGGGACUGCACUUAAUACAGUUGAGAUGAAGAAACUGAUCACUCACAUGAGUGAAAUUGAACAUCCUUGGAACUGUCCCCAUGGAAGGCCAACCAUGAGGCACAUAGCCAGUUUAGACAUGAUUUCUCAAGACUGAUAAAAUCCAUUAAUGGAACAGCAGAACUAUCUUUAACAGAUAGUCUUUUACAGAAUCGCAUUCCAUAUAAAUUUCUCUAAUACAAAAAGAUAAAAUGGAAGAAGAAAGACAACUGUGUGAACUACUCAGGAUAUUGCAGAGUAACAGCCUUUCGCCUCUGGCCUCUCCGAGACCCGGACGAACACAUCAGACCUGAGGCACCACUCCACUCCACUGUGUAAAAUACAACUCGAACCACAUUUUUCUCCAGUCGAGGUAUCAUCGUCAAAAUUGAACGAGCAAAACCCAGUCAUUUGAGAGCAAUGGGUAAAGACAAGAAGAAAGCUGACAAAAAAAACAGAAAAGUCUACACUCCCUCCACCGCUCCUUGAGA